ensembl:lncRNA
AUGGGGGCACAUAUGGGAUAUGGGGACAGUAUGGGGUUAUGGACAUUAUGGGGUAUGGGGACAUUAUGGGGUCUGGGGACUUUAUGGGGUCUGGGGAUGUUAUGGGAUAUGGAGACAUUAUGGGGUCUGGGGGACAUUAUGGGGUCUGGGGAUGUUAUGGGGUGUGGGGAUGUUAUGGGAUAUGGGGACAUUAUGGGGUCUGGGGAUGUUAUGGGAUAUGGAGACAUUAUGGGGUCUGGGGAUGUUAUGGGAUAUGGGGACAUUAUGGGGUCUGGGCGCAUUAUGGGGUCUGGGGACAUUAUGAGGUCUGGGGAUGUUAUGGGAUCACAGGGACAUUAUGGGGUCUGGGGGAUAUUAUGGGGUAUGGGGACAUUAUGGGGUCUGGGGACAUUAUGGGGUCUGGGCGCAUUAUGGGGUCUGGGGAUGUUAUGGGGUCUGGGGACAUUAUGGGGUCUGGGGAUAUUAUGGGGUCUGGGGAUGUUAUGGGGUCUUGGGGCAUUAUGGGGUCUGGGGAUGUUAUGGGAUAUGGGGAUAUUAUGGGGACAGGGGGACAUUAUGGGGUCUGGGGGAUAUUACGAGGUCUGGGAACAUUAUGGGGUCUUGGGGAUGUUAUGGGAUCAUGGGAACAUUAUGGGGUCUGGGGACAUUAUGGGGUCUGGGUAUGUUAUGGGAUAUGGGGACAUUAUGGGGUCUGGGGACAUUAUGGGGUCUGGGGAUAUUAUGGGGUCUGGGGACAUUAUGGGGUCUGGGGACAUUAUGGGGUCUGGGGAUGUUAUGGGGUCUGGGGACAUUAUGGGGUCUGGGGAUGUUAUCGGGUCUGGGGGAUAUUAUGGGAUCAUGGGGAUAUUAUGGGGUCUGGGGACAUUAUGGGAUAUGGGGAUGUUAUGGGGUCUGGGGAUGUUAUGGGAUAUGGGGACAUUAUGGGGUAUUGGGGACAUUAUGGGGUCUGGGGACAUUAUGGGAUCUGGGGAUAUUAUGGGGUAUGGGGGAUAUUAUGGGGUGUGGGGACAUUAUGGGGUAUGGGGACAUUAUGGGAUCUGGGGAUAUUAUGGGGUAUGGGGGACAUUAUGGGGUCUGGGGACAUUAUGGGGUAUGGGGANNNNNNNNNNNNNNNNNNNNNNNNNNNNNNNNNNNNNNNNNNNNNNNNNNNNNNNNNNNNNNNNNNNNNNNNNNNNNNNNNNNNNNNGGGACAUUAUGGGGUCUGGGGGAUAUUAUGGGGUCUGGGGACAUUAUGGGGUCUGGGGGAUAUUACGAGGUCUGGGGACAUUAUGGGGUCUUGGGGCAUUAUGGGGUCUGGGGAUGUUAUGGGGUCUGGGGAUAUUGUGGGGACAGGGGGAUAUUAUGGAAUAUGGGGACAUUAUGGGGACAUUAUGGGGUCUGGUGACAUUAUGGGGUCUGGGGAUGUUAUGGGAUCACAGGGACAUUAUGGGGUCUGGGGGAUAUUAUGGGGUCUGGGGACAUUAUGGGGUCUGGGGAUGUUAUGGGGUCUGGGGACAUUGUGGGGACAGGGGACAUUAUGGGAUCUGGGGACAUUAUGGGGUCUGGGGAUGUUAUGGGAUAUGGGGGAUAUUACGAGGUCUGGGGACAUUAUGGGGUCUUGGGUCAUUAUGGGAUAUGGGGACAUUAUGGGGUCUGGGGAUGUUAUGGGGACAGGGGGAUAUUAUGGGAUCACAGGGACAUUAUGGGGUCUGGGGAUGUUAUGAGAUCACAGGGACAUUAUGGGGUCUAUGGAUAUUAUGGGGUGUGGGGACAUUAUGGGGUCUGGGGACACACUGUGACGCACACUAA